rnacentral:rRNA from 1 species
GACGAACGCUGGCGGCGUGCUUAACACAUGCAAGUCGAACGAAGUGGCGAACGGGUGAGUAAUACGUGGGGAACCUGCCCUCCUUUUUGGGAUAAGCCUUGGAAACGGGGUCUAAUACCGAAUAAAGGGGGAUGGGCUCGCGGCCUAUCAGCUUGUUGGUGGGGGGAUGGCCUACCAAGGCGGUGACGGGUAGCCGGCCUGAGCGGGUGAGCCACCACAUUGGGACUGAGAUACGGCCCAGACUCCUACGGGAGGCAGCAGUGGGGGUUAUUGCACAAGGGGCGAAAGCCUGAUGCAGCGACGCCGCGUGGGAGUUGAAGGCUGUCGGGUUGUAUCGCUCUGUUGUUAAGGAAGGAGGACUUAACCAGAAAGCCACGGCUAACUACGUGCCAGCCGCCGCGGUAAUAC